rnacentral:lncRNA from 1 species
UCCUCUAAAAAUCAGAAGACUCACAGAGAGAAUCUCCAAGAUGCUCUGGAAGAACAAUGGCCAAGCAAAAUUCUCCCGGAGGACAGAGUCUGUGGCAGUCUUUCUGGGUGACCAGCCUUCAGUGGUCCAAGAACCUGCUGCUCCCGGGUCCUCUCAUUUGAAGACACCCACCGCCUAAGGAUGAAGAGAAGCUCCUUCUUGCAGAUCUGAGGCUGAUUUCCCAACUCCCAGGAACACCCUACCCACAGCCUGUUCCCCAGACCCAGGAACUUUUCAAAUGUAGAGGAGCCUUUAGAAGGAAGCCUUGAGCAUGAGGGCAGACCCCCCUCAUCCAACCACCACCUGACUCUGUGUGAACCUGGAACUGUUAGAAUGUCUGUGCUGUGAUAAAAGGUCAUCUCCCUACAAUGUUAUGAUACAGACCUCAAACCUACAAACAUGAGGAACUUCUGCCUCUAGGUUAACUGGUUACCCACUGUACAAGACACGUUACACACAGUCCAGGAGGCGGAGCUUCUGAGAUAUCUAGAAACAGCUUAGAGGCAAAAUGACAAAAUAAAGCAGCAACAACAAAUAAAACCAAUCUUCUCG